GACGAACGCUGGCGGCGUGCUUAACACAUGCAAGUCGAACGGUGAACCCGGAGCUUGCUCCGGCGGAUUAGUGGCGACCGGGUGAGUAACACGUGAGUAACCUGCCCUUGACUCUGGGAUAACUGCGGGAAACUGUAGCUACUACCGGAUACGACCCUCGGCCGCAUCGCCAGGGCUGUAAAGAAUUUCGGUCAAGGAUGGACUCCCGGCCUAUCAGCUAGUUGGUGAGAUAACGGCUCACCAAGGCGACGACGGGUAGCCGGCCUGAGAGGGUGACCGGCCACACUGGGGCUGAGACACGGCCCAGACUCCUACGGGAGGCAGCAGUGGGGAAUAUUGCACAAUGGGCGCAAGCCUGAUGCAGCAACGCCGCGUGAGGGAUGACGGCCUUCGGGUUGUAAACCUCUUUUAGUAGGGAAGAAGCGAAAGUGACGGUACCUGCAGAAAAAGCACCGGCUAACUACGUGCCAGCCGCCGCGGUAA
rnacentral:rRNA from 1 species